CCCUGCCAUUUGUACACACCGCCCGUCGCUACUACCGAUUGAAUGGCUUAGUGAGGCCUCCGGAUUGGUUUAAAGAAGGGGGCAACUCCAUCUUGGAACCGAAAAGCUGGUCAAACUUGGUCAUUUAGAGGAAG
rnacentral:rRNA from 1 species